GUGAGAAACAAACUUCCACCAUGAAUCGUAUGGCUUUCUUCCUUCUUGUCCUAGUUGCAGUGGCACAAAUUAUGAGUAUGCAGAAUGGAGUUACUGUAGAGGCCCAUUCCUGCAGAACACAUUUAGGCAGAUGCCGAAGUCGUUGUUUGAAGAAUGAGAUUUCCAUUGGUCAACAUGGCUGCUGCCAUGGCCUAGUCUGCUGUUUAACAUGAGGAACUUGGCUCAUUGAUUUAAGGAGAAAAAAGAAAGAAUGACUACACUUCCAAAAAUGCUUUCUAGGAGCUUCUAACAACUAUGGCUCUUCAGUGAUUUGUUUUGGCCUGUGUUUCCUUUGCAGCAUUCCUCAUAAGGACCAAAUCAAUAUAUAAAGUAAAUGUAAUAAAUUUGAUGCAACUCUGUUUGCUAUGUAAAGUAAAAGCUUGCUGAAUAUAACAAAUCACACAUUGUACUUACACAACAUCUGUGAUUAUAAGCUCUUAUCUCCUUUGCAGCUCUAUCUUACUUAUUUUUUAAUAAAAUGUUUAUUUAGCAGUUUCA